rnacentral:rRNA from 1 species
UGGACGCUGGCGGCAGGCCUAACACAUGCAAGUCGAACGGUAACAGGAAGCAGCUUGCUGUUUCGCUGACGAGUGGCGGACGGGUGAGUAAUGUCUGGGAAACUGCCUGAUGGAGGGGGAUAACUACUGGAAACGGUAGCUAAUACCGCAUAACGUCGCAAGACCAAAGAGGGGGACCCUCGGGCCUCUUGCCAUCGGAUGUGCCCAGAUGGGAUUAGCUUGUUGGUGGGGUAACGGCUCACCAAGGCGACGAUCCCUAGCUGGUCUGAGAGGAUGACCAGCCACACUGGAACUGAGACACGGUCCAGACUCCUACGGGAGGCAGCAGUGGGGAAUAUUGCACAAUGGGCGCAAGCCUGAUGCAGCCAUGCCGCGUGUAUGAAGAAGGCCUUCGGGUUGUAAAGUACUUUCAGCGGGGAGGAAGGGAGUAAAGUUAAUACCUUUGCUCAUUGACGUUACCCGCAGAAGAAGCACCGGCUAACUCCGUG